UGAGGAAUUUUUCGCAAUGGGCGCAAGCCUGACGAAGCAAUGCCGCGUGCAGGAAGAAGGCCUGUGGGUCGUAAACUGCUUUUCUCAGGGAAGAAGAUCUGACGGUACCUGAGGAAUAAGCACCGGCUAACUCUGUGCCAGCAGCCGCGGUAAUACAGAGGGUGCAAGCGUUAUCCGGAAUGAUUGGGCGUAAAGCGUUUGUAGGUGGUUCGUAAAGUCUAAUGUUAAAUACCAGGGCUUAACCCUGGACCGGCAUUGGAGUACUCACGAACUUGAGUGCGGUAGAGGUAGAGGGAAUUCCAUGUGGAGCGGUGAAAUGCGUAGAGAUAUGGAGGAACACCAGCGGCGAAGGCGCUCUACUGGGCCGAGACUGACACUGAGAAACGAAAGCUGGGGGAGCAAAUAGG
rnacentral:rRNA from 1 species